rnacentral:rRNA from 1 species
UACGUAGGGUGCGAGCGUUAAUCGGAGUUACUGGGCGUAAAGCGUGCGUAGGCGGUUCUCCAAGUCCGUUGUGAAAGCCCCGGGCUCAACCUGGGAAUGGCAGUGGAAACUAGGGGACUGGAAUCUGGCAGAGGGGGGUGGAAUGCCGCGUGUAGCAGUGAAAUGCGUAGAGAUGCGGCGGAACACCGAUGGCGAAGGCAGCCCCCUGGGCUGAGAUUGACGCUCAGGCACGAAAGCGUGGGGAGCAAACAGG